rnacentral:rRNA from 1 species
AGUGAACGCUGGCGGUAGGCCUAACACAUGCAAGUCGAACGGCAGCACAGUAAGAGCUUGCUCUUACGGGUGGCGAGUGGCGGACGGGUGAGGAAUACAUCGGAAUCUACUUUUUCGUGGGGGAUAACGUAGGGAAACUUACGCUAAUACCGCAUACGACCUACGGGUGAAAGCAGGGGAUCUUCGGACCUUGCGCGAUUGAAUGAGCCGAUGUCGGAUUAGCUAGUUGGCGGGGUAAAGGCCCACCAAGGCGACGAUCCGUAGCUGGUCUGAGAGGAUGAUCAGCCACACUGGAACUGAGACACGGUCCAGACGCCUACGAGAGGCAGCAGUGGGGAAUAUUGGACAAUAGGCGCAAGCCUGAUCCAGCCAUACCGCGUGGGUGAAGAAGGCCUUCGGGUUGUAAAGCCCUUUUGUUGGGAAAGAAAAGCAGCAGGUUAAUACCCCGCUGUUCUGACGGUACCCAAAGAAUAAGCACCGGCUAACUUCGUG